GCCCGUGUGGCUCAGUGGUUGAGCAGCGACCUGCAAACCAGGAGGUCAGGGUUCGAUUCCCGGUCAAGGGCA
rnacentral:tRNA from 1 species